UUUGAAAUCUGGGUCUUUUAGGCUCCGAGUUGUAAUUUGUAGAAGAUGCUUUGGGUGCGGCCCCGGUCUAAGUUCCUUGGAACAGGACGUCAUAGAGGGUGAGAAUCCCGUAUGUGAUCGGUGGCUUGCGCCCGUGUAAAGCUCUUUCGACGAGUCGGGUUGUUUGGGAAUGCAGCUCUAAAUGGGUGGUAAAUUUCAUCUAAAGCUAAAUAUUGGCCAGAGACCGAUAGCGCACAAGUAGAGUGAUCGAAAGAUGAAAAGCACUUUGGAAAGAGAGUUAAACAGUACGUGAAAUUGUUGAAAGGGAAGCGCUUGCAACCAGACUUGCGCGGGGUUGAUCAUCCGGGGUUCUCCCCGGUGCACUCGGCCUCGCUCAGGCCAGCAUCGGUUUUGGUGGUUGGAUAAAGGCCUUGGGAAUGUGACUUCUUUCGGGGAGUGUUAUAGCCCUCGGUGCAAUGCAGCCUACCGGGACCGAGGACCGCGCUUCGGCUAGGAUGCUGGCGUAAUGGUUGUAAGCGACCCGUCUUGAAACACGGACCAAGGAGUCUAACAUCUAUGCGAGUGUUUGGGUGUCAAACCCAUACGCGUAAUGAAAGUGAACGGAGGUGAGAACCCUUAAGGGUGCAUCAUCGACCGAUCCUGAUGUCUUCGGAUGGAUUUGAGUAAGAGCAUAGCUGUUGGGACCCGAAAGAUGGUGAACUAUGCCUGAAUAGGGUGAAGCCAGAGGAAACUCUGGUGGAGGCUCGCAGCGGUUCUGACGUGCAAAUCGAUCGUCAAAUUUGGGCAUAGG
rnacentral:rRNA from 1 species